rnacentral:rRNA from 1 species
GCUAAACGCGAAGAACCUUACCCAGGCUUGACAUGCAUAGGAAGUACGUCAGAAACGAUGUACGCUCUUCGGAGUCUAUGCACAGGUGCUGCAUGGCUGUCGUCAGCUCGUGUCGUGAGAUGUUGGGUUAAGUCCCGCAACGAGCGCAACCCCCGUUCCUAGUUACCAGCGAGUUAUGUCGGGGACUCUAGGAAGACUGCCGGUGCGAAACCGGAGGAAGGUGGGGGACGACGUCAAGUCAUCAUGGUCCUUACGUCUGGGGCUACACACGUGCUACAAUGGGUGGGACAAUGGGGACCGACCUGGCAACAGUAAGGCAAUCCUGUAAACCCAUCCUCAGUUCGGAUUGUGGGCUGCAACUCGCCCACAUGAAGCUGGAAUCGCUAGUAAUCGUGGAUCAGCUACGCCACGGUGAAUACGUUCCCGGGUCUUGUACACACCG